AUACUUAUCUUACAGGGAGGUGUACUGAUCAUGAACGUGGUUUUCGGGAGUGAGCCUCACCACUAGCACUUCAGGUAGGCUGACUCCUGCAAUUUCCUCCGAUCUGGGGAACUUAACUGUAAAAUCUGUGAUGUGGGAGACUGUUUUUGUUCUUUUUCCUG
rnacentral:snRNA from 14 species